GGUUAAGUUAACAAGGGCGCAUGGUGAAUGCCUUGGCACUAGGAGCUGAUGAAGGACGGGACUAACACCGAUAUGCUUCGGGGAGCUGUACGUAAGCUAUGAUCCGGAGAUUUCCGAAUGGGGCAACCCAGCAGUUUUAAUCAACUGUUACCACUAGAUGAAUUCAUAGUCUAGUUGGAGGUAAACGCUGUGAACUGAAACAUCUCAUUAGCAGCAGGAAUAUAAAGAAAUUUCGAUUCCCUAAGUAGCGGCGAGCGAACGGGGAACAGCCCAAACCAAAGUGCUUGCACUUUGGGGUUGUAGGACUGAACAUUUGAGUUACCAAAGAACUUGAUAGUCGAAGGAUUUGGGAAAAUCCGCCAUAGAUGGUGAUAGCCCAGUAGAUUAAAUCAAAUUCUCUCAGUUCAGGAUCCUGAGUACGGCGGAACACGUGAAAUUCCGUCGGAAUCCGGGAGGACCAUCUCCCAAGGCUAAAUACUACCUAGUGACCGAUAGUGAACCAGUACCGUGAGGGAAAGGUGAAAAGCACCCCGGGAGGGGAGUGAAAUAGUUCCUGAAACCAUGUGCCUACAAUAAGUCAGAGCGCGUUAAUGCGUGAUGGCGUGCCUUUUGUAGAAUGAACCGGCGAGUUAUGAUCCCGUGCAAGGUUAAGACUAAAAAGUCGGAGCCGUAGCGAAAGCGAGUCUGAAAUGGGCGUUUUGAGUACGAGGUUAUAGACCCGAAACCAGGUGACCUAUCCAUGUCCAGGUUGAAGGUGCGGUAAAACGCACUGGAGGACCGAACCCGUGUAAGUUGAAAAUUGCUGGGAUGAGGUGUGGAUAGCGGUGAAAUUCCAAACGAACUUGGAGAUAGCUGGUUCUCUCCGAAAUAGCUUUAGGGCUAGCCUCGGAAUUAGGAUCAUGGAGGUAGAGCACUAUUUGGACUAGGGGCCCGUCUUGGGUUACUGAAUUCAGAUAAACUCCGAAUGCCAUUGAUUCAUAUCCGGGAGUCAGACGAUGAGUGAUAAGAUCCACCGUCGAAAGGGGAACAGCCCAGACCAUCAGUUAAGGUCCCUAAAUGUAUGCUAAGUGGAAAAGGAUGUGGAGUUGCAUAGACAACUAGGAUGUUGGCUCAGAAGCAGCCACCAUUUAAAGAGUGCGUAAUAGCUCACUAGUCGAGUGAUCCUGCGCCGAAAAUGUACCGGGGCUAAGCAUACUACCGAAACCAUGGAUGCGACCAUUAGGUCGCGUGAUAGGAGAGCGUUCUAAGGGCGGUGAAGCAAGAUCGUGAGGACUUGUGGAGCGCUUAGAAGUGAGAAUGCCGGUAUGAGUAGCGAAAGAUAGGUGAGAAUCCUAUCCACCGAAUGACUAAGGUUUCCUGGGGAAGGCUCGUCCUCCCAGGGUUAGUCGGGACCUAAGUCGAGGCCGAGAGGCGUAGACGAUGGAUAACAGGUUGAGAUUCCUGUACUAGUUAAGUGCGUUUGAGCAAUGGAGGGACGCAGGAGGCUAAGAUGUGCAUUCUGUUGGAUUAGAAUGUCCAAGCAGUAAGUCUUGUGAAGAGUCAAAUGCUUUUCACUUUAAGGACAAGCUGUGAUGGGGAGCGAAAUUUAGUAGCGAAGCGUCUGAUGUCACACUGCCGAGAAAAGCUUCUAGUGAGUACUUAACUACCCGUACCGCAAACCGACACAGGUAGUCGAGGAGAGAAUCCUAAGGUGAGCGAGUGAACUCUCGUUAAGGAACUCGGCAAAAUGACCCCGUAACUUCGGGAGAAGGGGUGCUGAUCGCAAGAUCAGCCGCAGUGAAUAGGCCCAGGCGACUGUUUAUCAAAAACACAGGUCUCUGCAAAAUCGUAAGAUGACGUAUAGGGGCUGACGCCUGCCCGGUGCUGGAAGGUUAAAAGGAUGGGUUAGCUUCGGCGAAGCUCAGAAUUGAAGCCCCAGUAAACGGCGGCCGUAACUAUAACGGUCCUAAGGUAGCGAAAUUCCUUGUCGGGUAAGUUCCGACCCGCACGAAAGGCGUAACGAUCUGGGCACUGUCUCAACGAGAGACUCGGUGAAAUUAUAUUGUCCGUGAAGAUGCGGACUACCCGCGACAGGACGGAAAGACCCCAUGGAGCUUUACUGUAGCUUGAUAUUGAGUGUUUGUACAGCUUGUACAGGAUAGGUAGGAGCCAUAGAAACCGGAACGCUAGUUUCGGUGGAGGCGUUGGUGGGAUACUACCCUCGCUGUAUGACCACUCUAACCCGCACCACUAAUCGUGGUGGGAGACAGUGUCAGGUGGGCAGUUUGACUGGGGCGGUCGCCUCCUAAAAAGUAACGGAGGCGCCCAAAGGUUCCCUCAGAAUGGUUGGAAAUCAUUCGCAGAGUGUAAAGGCACAAGGGAGCUUGACUGCGAGACAGACAGGUCGAGCAGGGACGAAAGUCGGGCUUAGUGAUCCGGUGGUACCGUAUGGAAGGGCCAUCGCUCAACGGAUAAAAGCUACCCUGGGGAUAACAGGCUUAUCUCCCCCAAGAGUCCACAUCGACGGGGAGGUUUGGCACCUCGAUGUCGGCUCAUCGCAUCCUGGGGCUGUAGUCGGUCCCAAGGGUUGGGCUGUUCGCCCAUUAAAGCGGUACGCGAGCUGGGUUCAGAACGUCGUGAGACAGUUCGGUCCCUAUCCGUCGCGGGCGUAGGAAAUUUGAGAGGACCUGUCCUUAGUACGAGAGGACCGGGAUGGACAUACCUCUGGUGUACCAGUUGUGCCGCCAGGCGCAUCGCUGGGUAGCUACGUAUGGAUGUGAUAAACGCUGAAAGCAUCUAAGUGUGAAACACACCUCGAGAUGAGAUUUCCCAUUCCUUUAUGGAAGUAAGACCCCUGAAAGAUGAUCAGGUAGAUAGGUUAGAAGUGGCAGUGCGGUGACGCAUGAAGCGGACUAAUACUAAUCGGUCGAGGACUUAACCAA
rnacentral:rRNA from 2 species